rnacentral:rRNA from 1 species
UACAGAGGUCUCAAGCGUUUGUUCGGAUUCAUUGGGCGUAAAGGGUGUGUAGGUGGCGCGCUAAGUCGGGGUGUGAAAUUUCGGAGCUUAACUCCGAAACUGCAUUCGAUACUGGCGUGCUUGAGGACUGGAGAGGAGACUGGAAUUCAUGGUGUAGCAGUGAAAUGCGUAGAUAUCUGGAGGAACACCGGUGGCGAAGGCGGCAUCCUGGACCACAUGACGCUG